GUUAACCACAGUAGUGUAAUGGGUGCAGUCCAAAAUAUUCAUGCUCAUAAACUUCACCGUGUCAUACCCAGUAAAACAACAAGGCGGAGAACUGUUGGUAAGCAAAUGGAAGACUCUGAAAGCAUUGCAGGAGCCGUAUAGCUCGUCACAGGAGUGGUCAGAGAAGUUGAAGCAGAGGUUCUUGUAGUGGUUAAGAACUGGAGAGUCAAUAGAGCAAUUGAGGAGAGCAAAGACGGUGUCUGGAGUUGGAGGGAUUAUGAAAGAUUGUAUUUCAGUCAUGAUAAAGUCAUGGUGAGGCUGAAGAAUGGAGCACGUAGACAUGGCAGGAUCGUAAACCACCAUAGUUUUCUUAUCGUAGUCAAUGUGCUGGACUUUGUAGCUACCAGAAGGGGUUAUGAAGAACAAGUCAUUGCUGCAGUUAAACAUGCCGCGAAACUGUGGCGCCCCACACCCGUCAUCGACGCCGAAGGGGUAGUGUAUCUCAAUGCUGCCACAGGAGGUUCUGCAGGAAGUGAGAGCGAGGGCAGGCAGUAAUUGAAG
rnacentral:misc_RNA from 1 species